rnacentral:piRNA from 1 species
UAAACAUGCGAAUUACAUCUUUCCGUUUUA